UGGUGUGAGAGGUUGAAGCUGCCAGCAUGAUCUGGCUGCUCAAACGCCGACGCCGGGCUCUGAAGUGCCUGGAGACGCUUCGCCAGAUCAUGUUGUAGCUUCACUCUCUCGCAAC
rnacentral:pre_miRNA from 1 species